UACAGAGACUGCAAGCGUUAUUCGGAUUCACUGGGCGUAAAGGGUGCGCAGGCGGCCAAGUGUGUGAGGCGUGAAAGCCUGGGGCUUAACUCCAGAAUUGCACCUCAAACUACAUGGCUAGAGCAUUGGAGAGGGUAGCAGAAUUCACGGUGUAGCAGUGAAAUGCGUAGAUAUCGUGAGGAAUACCAGAGGCGAAGGCGGCUACCUGGACAAUUGCUGACGCUCAGGCACGAAAGCGUGGGGAGCAAAAGGG
rnacentral:rRNA from 2 species